rnacentral:lncRNA from 1 species
ACUCAGGAGGCCGAGGCACAAGAAUCGCUUAAACCCAGGAGGCGGAGGUUGCAGUGAGCCAAGAUCAUGCCACUGCACUCCAGCCUGGACAACAGGGCGAGAUUCUGUUUCAAAAAAAAAAAGAUACUACCAGAGACUGGGUAAUUUAUAAAUAAAGGAGGUUUAAUUGACUCAGUGUUCUGUCUGGCUAGGGAAGCCUCAGGACACUUACGAUCAUGGCAGAAGGGGAGGAAACCACCUUCUUCACAUGGUGGAAGGAGAGAGAUGGGCAAAGGAGGAACUCCCAAACACUUAUAAAAACCAUCAGAUCUUGUGAGAACUCACUCACUGUCAUGAGAACAGCAUGGGGAAAAUACUGUCCCAUGAAACAAUCACCUCCCUUUCUUUACAUGUGGGGAUUGCAGGUCCCUCCCUCCACAUGUGGGGAUUACAAUUUGAGAUGAGAUUUGGGUGGGGACACAGAACCAAACCAUAUCACCCAUGUUGCAACUUAAUAAACUGAAGCACUGUGUGGUUAAGUAGUUGCAAUUGUUAAUAGCUAAGCUAGAACUUGAACACUGGUGGUCUGGCUGUAAAUGCAGCACUCUUUCUACUACGGCAACUCACCCAGGCAAGUUAUUUUAUAUUUUUAUGACAAACCAUCCUCCCACAUCCAACCCUUUAUCUGGGUGUAAAGAAGGGAUUGUGGUAAAGAUCUUGAUUGAAAUAUACCUCUGACCCCUUAUUUGAAGAGAUAAAAAGGGAAGAUGAAUUAGAAAAGGGGGAGGGAAAAUAUGCAGUGAUUAAAAGGUGGGCUUUAUUUUAAAUUUCCUUUUCUUUCAAGUUUUAUAUUUAAUACUUCAGUGUGUUUGCUUCAAAACAGGUUACCAAGCAACGGCUUCAGGCAAAUCACCUCAGAUCUGCUCUCCAUUCCCCCAGGGUUGUGGGGGUCCGAAGCACAAGCAGAUGUCUGGAGGGAGCUAUUACUCACAUCCUCCCCUUCUUAAUUUCCCCUUCUUAAUUUCGCUCGGUGGCAGUAGCAGCAGUCACAGACCAAUCUCUAUCACUUCAGGAAAGAAGGGGGCAGAAACAGGAAAGAAUUAAGGUUGCUGCAGAUCCACAGAGAUUCACUGCUGGUAACAUACUUUGGUGCCACAUGACUCGGAUGCAUUCUGCCGCUAAAAAAAGGACUUCAUAGAAGUUUGCAAGCAAGGAGCUACAACAAAGAUGAUGCCCAAAGGUAAUGCCUUAAACAUGAGCAUAGCAGGUCAGAGAAGAUUCCAGCUCCAGUAUUCCAAGGUUAGACAUGAUAAGAACACUGUAUGCUAUUACAAAACUUAAGCCCAUGUUUCUAGAGAUGAUACCUGCAUUCAGCCCUGGCAUUGCUAUCUCUAUAGCCAGAGCACAAAUCCACUCCUCGGGGUAAGCCUAUAGAAUUCUCCAGUCAAACGCACAGUUACAACCCUUCUUCACCAUUUGCUAAAGGAAUCUCUUCUAACCCACAAGCUCUGGAGAUAACAGUGAGGAUGAGAGCAGCCAGACCCGGUGAAACUGAGAAUUUUUUCUCCUUCGACAGCUUUUCUAAUCACCACUGAUCCUGCUGUUCAAGGAUUUCUGAGCUAGCGGAGCAGAAAGCCCCAGAAUCCCAAGAAGCCUCCUUUCUCAGUGUCUGGGCCACUGAACUUCUCUAGACCUCAUCUCAUUACCGAGGCCCAAGGAGCUCAGGGGCUCGCCUGAGGGCUUCCUCUCAGAUCACCUCGCUCAUUCUCUAGAGCAUAAAAAAAAACCUGCUGAUUUUAAUUUACUUGUAGAGUGUGUUCUCCUGGCUCAUUUUCACCCAGAGUAAACCUAGAAAAGUAACAUCAACUAGUUAAUUCACUUUUUCAUUAACUCAACAGACACUUUUCAGUCUUACUCUGCACAGGAUGCUCUGUUAGGUUUUAUGAAGGGUGGGGCAUGGAGACAGGGAUCUCUGGGAAUGUGGAAGGGAGGGCAUUCAGAGGCUGACAUGUGGUGGCUGCCAUGGAACUCUGCCUCCCACCCUGCUCUAGGAGUUCACUGGGGCAAGAGUGUGAAGAAGGUAGGAGGAUCCAGUGUCUUUGGGGGCAAAUACUACAGGAUGAAGGGACUGUGAGGGAGGCUUGGAGAAGUCAGUUUUAAGCCACUUUUUAUUUUACUUUUUGUAUUGCUCCUUUUAUUCAGGUACUUUUUUCUCUUCCUUAGUAAUUUGAUAUUCAGGGGUACAUGUGCAGGUUUGUUACACAGGUAAACUUGUGUCAUGGGGGUUUGUUGUACAGAUUAUUUCAUCAUCCAGGUGUUAAGCCUAGUACCAUUAAUUAUUUUUCCUGAUCCUCUCCGUCCUCUCACUCUCCACCCUCCAGUAGACCCCAGUGUGUAUUGUUCCCCAGCCAUUUCUGCUGGGUGAACACAUUUCCCCUCUAUGUGUUCAUGUGUUCUCAUCAUUUAGCUCCAACCUAUAAGUGAGAACAUGCUGUACUUGGUUUUCUGUUCCUGUGUUAGCUUGCUACGGAUAAUGGCCUCCAGUUCCAUCCAUGUCUUUGCAAAUGACACGAUCUCAUUCUUUUUAUGGCUGCAUAGUAUUCCAUGGUGUAUAUGCACCUCAUCUUCUUUGUCCAGACUAUCACUAAUGGGCAUUUAGGUUGACUCCAUGUCUUUGUUAUUGUGAAUAGUGCUGAAGUGAGCAUAUGCAUGAGUCUUUAUCACAGAACAAUUUAUAUUCCUUUGGGUAUAUACCCAGUAAUGGGAUUGCUAGGUGGAAUGUCAUUUCUUUCUUUAGGUCUUUGGGGAAUCGCUACACUGUCUUCCACGAUGGUUGAACUAGUUUACACUUCCACCAACAGUGUAUAAGUGUUCCUUUUCCUGCACAUCCUCACCAGCAUGAUAUUUUUUGAUUUUUUAAUAAUAGCCAUUCUGCUUGGUAUGAGAUAAUAUAUCAUUGUGGUUUUUAUUUGCAUUUCUCCAAUGAUUAGUGAUGUUAAGCUUUUUUAAAAAAAUGAUUGUUGACCAUAUGUAUGUCUUCUUUUGAAAAGUGUGUUUAUAUCCUUGCCCACUUUUUAAUGGAGUUGUUUGGCUUUUUUUCUUGUAAAUUUGUUUAAGUUCCUUAUAGAUGUUGGAUAUUAGAUCCUUUGUUGGAUGCAUAGUUUGCAAAAACUUUCUCCUAUUCUAUAGGUUGUCUGUUCACUCUGUUGAUAGUUUGUUUUGCUGUGCAGGAGCUCUUUAGUUUAAUUAGAUCCCAUUUGUCAAUUUUUGCUUUUGUUGCAAUUGCUUUUGUAAGCCAAUUUUUAUAUCAUUUUCCAAACAGCCACCCUCCUCCUAACUUUGGACAGAGCUUACUCCAGAAGACAGUCUUGGAGUAGAACACCAUGGACCAAGUACUUGCCGAGCAUGCCCACUGCCCUCGAUUGUACAUGUGCAAAUACUUUCUUUGCCUAUUCAGAAAUUAGCAGAAACUGUUGAAUAAAGGGAUAAAGGAGGUGAGAAUACUGGUCCUUUAUCAGAGAAUGAAAUAAGCAAAAAGACAAAAUCAGAAAAGUAGAAAAGCAGAAAAUGACUGUGUUCCUUUGUUCUUGCCUCUUUUUUCCCCCCAAAAAGGGAGGAUGCACCACUCUCUCCAUUUUCUAAGAAAAGAAGUAAAAACUGAGCGGAUAACUCAUGUGCCUUCUAAGGAUAGUGCCAGCAAGAAUAGAACGCAGACCUCUUUCUCUGAAAUUUUGAUUUGCAUGAAUUCCUCAUCUUCACCUUGAGAAAGGUUCUCUUUCCCAUCUAAGCCUCAGAGUAAGAUACGUUUGGGCUCUGAUUUUUGCAUAGCAUCUGUUCCUAAGUGAGAAUGGCCACUGGAGUUUGGAAACCAGAAAGCAAGAGAAAUGGUGUCAAGGGACACAAAACUGUUUAAAAAGGGAAAAACCACCAAAUCUCUCCCUCAAUCUCUCUCUCUGCUCUCACACACACAGAUGCUCAAUAUUGGCAAUGUUAAUAUAUCUUCUGAAGAGACAGAAAUGAAUAA